AUUGAACGCUGGCGGCAGGCCUAACACAUGCAAGUCGAGCGAGCGGCGGACGUGUGAGUAAUGCCUGGGAAUUGCCCAGUCGAGGGGUAUAACAGUUGGAAACGACUGCUUAUCCCGCAUACGCUUGGCUUCCCCAGGUGGGAUUCGCUAGUUGGUGAGGUCAUGGCUCACCAAGGCGACGCUCCCUAGCUGGUCUGAGAGGAUGAUCAGCAACACUGGAACGGAGACACGGUCCAGACUCCUACGGGAGGCAGCAGUGGGGAAUAUUGCACAAUGGGGGAAACCCUGAUGCAGCCAUGCCGAGUGUGUGAAGAAGGCCUUCGGGUUGUAAAGCACUGUCAGCGAGGAGGCGUUACUCGCAGAAGAAGCACCGGCUAACUCCGUGCCAGCAGCCGCGGUAAUAC
rnacentral:rRNA from 1 species